UAUCCGCAAGUCGAGCGAACAGACGAGGAGCUUGCUCCUCUGACGUUAGCGGCGGACGGGUGAGUAGCACGUGGAUAACCUACCUAUAAGACUGGGAUAGCUUCGGGAAACCGGAGCUAAUACCGGAUAAUACAUUGAACCGCAUGGUCCAAUAGUGAAAGACGGUUUUGCUGUCACUUAUAGAUGGAUCCGCGCCGCAUUAGCUAGUUGGUAAGGUAACGGCUUACCAAGACAACGAUGCGUAGCCGACCUGAGAGGGUGAUCGGCCACACUGGAACUGAGACACGGUCCAGACUCCUACGGGAGGCAGCAGUAGGGAAUCUUCCGCAAUGGGCGAAAGCCUGACGGAGCAACGCCGCGUGAGUGAUGAAGGUCUUCGGAUCGUAAAACUCUGCUACUAGGGAAGAACAAAUGUGUAAGUAACUAUGCACGUCUUGACGGUACCUAAUCAGCAAGCCACGGCUAACUACGUGCCAGCAGCCGCGGUAAUACGUAGGUGGCAAGCGUUAUCCGGAAUUAUUGGGCGUAAAGCGCGCGUAGGUGGUUUUUUAAGUCUGAUAUGAAAGCCCACGGCUCAACCGUGGAGGGUCAUUGGAAACUGGAAAACUUGAGUGCAGAAGAGGAAAGUGGAAUUCCAUGUGUAGCGGUGAAAUGCGCAGAGAUAUGGAGGAACACCAGUGGCGAAGGCGACUUUCUGGUCUGUAACUGACGCUGAUGUGCGAAAGCGUGGAGAUCAAACAGGAUUAGAUACCCUGGUAGUCCACGCCGUAAACGAUGAGUGCUAAGUGUUAAGGGGUUUCCGCCCCUUAGUGCUGCAGCUAACGCAUUAAGCACUCCGCCUGGGGAGUACGACCGCAAGGCUGAAACUCAAUGGAAUUGACGGGGACCCGCACAAGCGGUGGAGCGUGUGG
rnacentral:rRNA from 1 species